GAUGAACGCUGGCGGCGUGCCUAAUACAUGCAAGUCGAGCGAACGGACGAGAAGCUUGCUUCUCUGAUGUUAGCGGCGGACGGGUGAGUAACACGUGGAUAACCUACCUAUAAGACUGGGAUAACUUCGGGAAACCGGAGCCAAUACCGGAUAAUAUAUUGAACCGCAUGGUUCAAUAGUGAAAGACGGCUUUGCUGUCACUUAUAGAUGGAUCCGCGCCGCAUUAGCUAGUUGGUAAGGUAACGGCUUACCAAGGCAACGAUGCGUAGCCGACCUGAGAGGGGGAUCGGCCACACUGGAACUGAGACACGGUCCAGACUCCUACGGGAAGCAGCAGUAGGGAAUCUUCCGCAAUGGGCGAAAGCCUGACGGAGCAACGCCGCGUGAGUGAUGAAGGUCUUCGGAUCGUAAAACUCUGUUAUUAGGGAAGAACAAAUGUGUAAGUAACUAUGCACGUCUUGACGGUACCUAAUCAGAAAGCCACGGCUAACUACGUG
rnacentral:rRNA from 1 species